GAAGUGGAAGAAAAUGAGCAUGCCACUAAUAUUUCGAUCUUUUGAGGGCCAAGAUCUCAAGCAUGAAGUUCAUUUACUAUAAAGCUGGGCUAGGUUUCCCCACUUAUUGCCGCAACUUCACAUUGGACAUCACAAGGAUGGGUGAAGCCACGAAUCCUGAUUGAAGACCGGAAGAUGAUGAUGAUAACAAGAGCUCGAUGGAGGUGUGCAGUCCUAUUGAAGAUGGCCAAGUUCAGAUCCAAAGGCGAUGUAUUCCAUCCAGUGCCUGUGGCCGGGGAUCGCAUCCAGCCUGUGCGAUCUGUGUGGAGAACGCACCCUGCGGCCAACAAAAUCCUGUUAUAUAGGCAAUGGAAAAAGGCGGGAGGUGAGUCGCAGAAAGAAAAAUUGGCGCCAAUGUGGUUGUUCAGGAAAGGGCGGAGGCGGAGAUGGACAGUUGCGAUCUGUAUUUGUUAAUCGCGUUUGUGGAAAAACGACUAAUACUCGUUUUCCCAUAAACCUGGAAUU